rnacentral:rRNA from 1 species
GAUGAACGCUGGCGGCGUGCCUAAUACAUGCAAGUCGAGCGAACGGACGAGAAGCUUGCUUCUCUGAUGUUAGCGGCGGACGGGUGAGUAACACGUGGAUAACCUACCUAUAAGACUGGGAUAACUUCGGGAAACCGGAGCUAAUACCGGAUGAUAUUUUGAACCGCAUGGUUCAAAAGUGAAAGACGGUCUUGCUGUCACUUAUAGAUGGAUCCGCGCUGCAUUAGCUAGUUGGUAAGGUAACGGCUUACCAAGGCAACGAUGCAUAGCCGACCUGAGAGGGUGAUCGGCCACACUGGAACUGAGGCACGGUCCAGACUCCUACGGGAGGCAGCAGUAGGGAAUCUUGCGCAAUGGGCGAAAGCCUGACGGAGCAACGCCGCGUGAGUGAUGAAGGUCUUCGGAUCGUAAAACUCUGUUAUUAGGGAAGAACAUAUGUGUAAGUAACUGUGCACAUCUUGACGGUACCUAAUCAGAAAGCCACGGCUAACUACGUG